GCGGUGAUGGAUGAGCUCGCGGCCUAUCAGCUUGUUGGUGGGGUAACGGCCCACCAAGGCUUCGACGGGUAGCCGGCCUGAGAGGGUGACCGGCCACACUGGGACUGAGACACGGCCCAG
rnacentral:rRNA from 1 species